ACUCUAUCUACACCUUUGUCGAUCUCUUUGUUACUCUUUCUAUACCUUUCUCGAUCUCUCUGUAGUUUCUAACUAUUAUAAGUUAAUGGUCGUAGGAAGACCUCAUUGCAAAGGUAUAGUUGGUGGUUGUUGAGGUUGAGAAGCGUGAACAAACAAAUAACCGAGAGAUAGGCAACUAUCUCAUCAAUUAUGACUUGAGCAAGUACAUGAAUGGGUGGGAGAGGAAUGAAAAGGCAAAGCCAUGACGAUGUGGCUUAAUAGGAAGCGAGGAUAGGAGAAGGGAAGAAAGAGUGAGAGUGAAUGAGAGACUAAGAAAGGGUAAGGGAGAAAGGAGAGGGGUUUAAGGAGAGAAGAGAGAUGAGGGAAUGGAAGAAGGAGAGCAGUGGUGAUGUGGAACGCAAAGACGUUUAGACUUCCAAAACGUCUCCCGCCCUAUCUUCCCUUUUGUUUUUCACCAAGUCUCGAGGGAAAGGACCUGGAACGAGAUCCCUCUCUCUCACCUCCUCCAUGUGUCUCUCUUUGUUCCAUCUCCCUAUCCUCUUCUCUCUCUGUUUCGUUUAUAUUGAUUUCUUCUUUUCAAGGUUCUCUUAGGGUUUGAGUACUUAUUUGGAAUGUGCUUCAUUCAGGGAUUGUCUAAAUUGGCCAAACGACAUGCAGGGCUAUUGGUUUUUUGAAAAGUAUCUUUGGCCAUCUGCUUUCAGUAGAAGAUAACCAUAGACCUAUCAGAGCUUAGGUACUUGGAGGAUGAGGAGAAGAUAAUUAAAGGUGCAACCAUGGGUUAAGUUGUCGAUACCAUUUGGGAAAUCAUGCACUUGGUAAUAUUUUCCAGGUGUUGAGAGAACCGUUGCAUUUCCUAGAUUGAAGACCAUGAAGAUGACAGGAUAGCUAUGGGCUGACCUUUUCUUCAACUGGAGGAGUUUGUAUAGAUUUGGAGCAUUUGAUACAGAAUUACAGGAUGAAGAGAUGGUGGUUUUGAUGUUGGAGUUUCUACUUUGGUCAAAUAUAAUCAUUUAUUCCCUCCACAAUUGGAAAUUGCACAUCAUCAAGGAAAUUGGCCUCUCACCAGGAGAUUGAAUCUCUUGAAAGCAAAAAACGUUCUAACACUUAAGAGCAUGAACAUUCAACCAUACAUUGGGAAUAUUUCCGGUACAUGUAUGCAGGUGGUGUUCCUGUUGUAUGGUUGGAUGCCCACACUCUCAGUUUAAUGCUUGGAUUGUAUUCAAAUUGAUUUGGUUCAAUUGAAAUAUAAUAUUGUUGACUUAAAUAGAUUUAUGGUUUUUUCA